rnacentral:lncRNA from 1 species
GUUUCAAAGUACAUUAUAAUUCGAGUUAGUAAGUGUGAUUCAAAGUUUCGAAUCUCUUGGUGAGAUUCUUAGUGUUUUAAAAUGAAAGUAGGGGCUCAGCCUUGGGAGUCAUUCUGACGCUUCAAUGGUCAAUCAAACUCACUUAGAGAGGUUGAACCAUGUGGUGAGAAGUAGCAGGAGGUCCUUAGUCUUGGGGGCUCCCAGUAUGCCUCAAGGCGCGGAACGGACUAACCUCGUGAGUAUGGCAGGGUGGGGAACCCAAGUUUCAUAAGUCACCACGGGUGCAAGACUCGCCAUAGCCCGACUCUCAUUUUAAAGUCCGGACGAGUCAAGUCUANAAAUUGCAUGCUUAAGUGAUAUUUCUGAAUCUGUUUGAUAUAAGUUGUUCUUGUAUGUUACAUGUUUAAUACAAUUGUAUGAAUUUAUAUAAUUA